rnacentral:lncRNA from 1 species
UCUUUAUUAAUUUUUAGGAUAAAUCAUGGACACAUAAACAUGAUUAAAAAUAAAAAUAUCAUUUUAUUAAUAAUAAAAUUUUAUAAGUAUAUGAAUAGACUCUGAAAUUACAUAAUGUCUUAGCCAACAAUUGGCUUCUAGGACACAUAUCUAACAGUCACAUAUUUCUCAUCUCAUAUAACAUGAGAUCAUAUGCUUGUAUUACACAUCCAACUAUCAUCACAGUCUAUAAUGCAUCAGUUGAUUGCAUGAUUACUCUGACUAAAGCUUAGAGUUACAUAAAUUUGUUUCAAUCACAUGGCUUGGCAAUUAUUUUCUAACGACGAUGACCACUUGUAAAUAAUGUGUGAACAUCUUAAUGAAACAAAAUCCAUGUUUUUGUUGCAUUUAACAUUCAAGUUCUAAUUGACCAUAAGCAUAAUAAUUAAGUCGAACAAGAUGAGUGACCCAUGAGCACUUGAACCAUGGGUAGCACUAAUUGAAGGAUGUCUCAUUUUUUGUGCUUCUCUUGUUAUUAUAUAGGUUUUCCUUAUAUCUCUUAGUAGUUUUCUACUAUUAUAAUCUCUUGUAUGAGUCUCCCUGGAAGGGUGCUAAAGCUAGUUAAGCAAUACACUCUCUUGUAAAUUCCAUAUAAUCUAUUCAAUAUGGUGGAUCUAAUUUUUGGGCGAAUCAUACUAAACCUUGGUGUAUUGUGCAUGCUGUAUUCUCUAUUAUUUUUUUUAAUGGUAUUGUAUCAAUUAGUAUCAAAAUUUAGGGUACAGACAA